UAGGGAAUCUUCCACAAUGGACGAAAGUCUGAUGGAGCAACGCCGCGUGAGUGAAGAAGGGUUUCGGCUCGUAAAACUCUGUUGUUAAAGAAGAACAUAUCUGAGAGUAACUGUUCAGGUAUUGACGGUAUUUAACGAGAAAGCCACGGCUAACUACGUGCCAG
rnacentral:rRNA from 1 species